CCUACGGGGGGCAGCAGUGGGGAAUUUUGGACAAUGGGCGAAAGCCUGAUCCAGCAAUGCCGCGUGAGUGAAGAAGGCCUUCGGGUUGUAAAGCUCUUUUGUGGAACGUUCGGUACCUGAAGAAUAAGCACCGGCUAACUACGUGCCAGCAGCCGCGGUAAUACGUAGGGUGCAAGCGUUAAUCGGAAUUACUGGGCGUAAAGCGUGCGCAGGCGGUUUUGUAAGUCUGUCGUGAAAUCCCCGGGCUUAACCUGGGAAUGGCGAUGGAGACUGCAAGGCUAGAGUUUGGCAGAGGGGGGUAGAAUUCCACGUGUAGCAGUGAAAUGCGUAGAGAUGUGGAGGAACACCGAUGGCGAAGGCAGCCCCCUGGGUCAACUGACGCUCAUGCACGAAAGCGUGGGGAGCAAACAGGAUUAGAUACCCGGGUAGUC
rnacentral:rRNA from 1 species